GAAAUUCAGUUUUUAAAAUUUUCAAAUUCCAAUGUCUUAAUUUUUUCUUUUAUUUUUUCUCCAAUAUGAAUAUUCCUGAAUGAGUCAAUGAAGUCAGAUUUUGCUGGGUCCUGCUGAUAAUGAAGGGUUAACUUUUCCAAACUAAACAAUCUAUUUCCACUUUCCAGUUAAUAAACUUUUGAAGAAAAUGUACAAAAUAACAAAUGUUUAUAUUUUAAAUAAAUUUUAGACAAGAAACAAAAUGUUUAUUUUUUAACAUACCAAUGUAAUUAUGGUUUUUGAUACUUCCAGUUAAUUUAUGUAGCUCUUUUUUUUUUUCAGGCAGAACUAUAUUUCUUUGGCCAGAAGACUUCCUUUAAACGUCUCCCUCUUUCACCUCCACUGGAGUGUAGUGGUAUAGCUACAGCUCACUGCAGCCUUGACUUCCUGGCCUCAAGCCUUCCUCUUACCUCAGCCUCUAGAGCAGGCUCAUGAUCAUAUUUCGGUAAUUGGAACACAGCCAUUCCAAGGCUUUUAGCAGUUUCUUGUACAUUAAUCAUCUUGUUCCUGUGUUCUCUUUAGGAGAAGCGGAACACCACAUCAGCAGUCUGACCACCCUGAGACUUCCAUGCUAUGAGGAAAUCCAAAAUAGCCAUUUAAAAUGUGAAGACAGUAUAUUUUUUAAAGAAAGCAAUACUGGCUAACUGUCAGUUGUUUUGACAUCCAAGUCUAGACACUAGCUAUGAAUGUGAAGAAGCCAUUCUGGACAUUCCAGACCCAGCAGAUGCCACAUGGAACAGUACUGAGGUCCAAAACACAUGGUUUUCCACCAUAUCCUGACAAUUGAACUACCCUGGCUGAAGCCCAGACAUCAUGGCACAAAGACAAGCUGUCAUCACUGAACCCUGACAAAGUUCUUGACCCACAGAAUUGUAAGCCUAAUAAAAGUGGAUUUUUAAAAAAAU
rnacentral:lncRNA from 1 species